rnacentral:RNase_P_RNA from 1 species
GGCCGCCCCCACGGGGCCCACGGGGUACUCCUGAGGAAACACCGCCCUCCCCGCGGCACCGGAGCCCCGCAAGGGGCGCGGGUAGCACCCGCGGCAACGGCACAGAAACGACACGGCUCCGCGAGUGAUGACAGUGAUGGGUUCAAACCCGGAGAAACCGUGGAGCACGGUGAAACGGCCGACCUCCGGGGAGCAAGGCCAAACGCGCCGAUGAAGGCCGCGUAAGGCGCGGGUAGGCCGCUAAGCCAAAUGCCCCGUAACAGAAGGCGGGUUAUGUGGGGGCGGCU